rnacentral:tRNA from 1 species
GCGCGCUUAGCUCAAUGGUAGAGCGACUCUUUGACGUAGAGUAGGCUGGGGGUUCGAUUCCCUCAGCGCGCA